rnacentral:rRNA from 1 species
AGAGUUUGAUCCUGGCUCAGAACGAACUUUGGCGGCGUGGCUAAGACAUGCAAGUCGAACGAGCUAGGCAAUUGAGCAAUCGAACGCCUAGUUAGUGGCGAAAGGGUUAGUAAUGGCUAGGUAACGUACCCUGUACUUCGGGAUAGCGUCUGAGUGCUUGCACUCUUCCGAAAGGGGCAUUAAUACCGAAUAAUAUCCCCCGUCGAUGGGCGGGUGAUCAAAGAUUUAUCGGUGCAGGAGCGGCCUAGUUCCUAUCAGCUAGUUGGUGAGGUAACGGCCCACCAAGGCGAUGACGGGUAGCGGGACUGAGAGGUUGGCCCGCAACAUCGGGACUGAGACACUGCCCGGACCUCCACGGAGGGCUGCAGUAACGAAUAUUGGGCAAUGAGCGAAAGCUUGACCCAGCGACGCCGCGUGUAGGAGGAAGUCCUUCGGGAUGUAAACUACUGUCAGGGGUAAGAAAGUCCGUUUCGGCGGAUUGAUCCAACCCAGAGGAAGUCACGGCUAACUUCGUGCCAGCAGCCGCGGUAAGACGAAGGUGGCAAGCGUUGUUCGGAAUCACUGGGCUUAAAGCGUGUGUAGGCGGAAGCGUAAGCGUUUUGUGAAAUCCCUCGGCUCAACCGAGGAAUUGCUUGACGAACUGCGCUUCUUGAGGCAGGUAGGGGUGCGAGGAACUCUUGGUGGAGCGGUGGAAUGCGUAGAUAUCAAGAGGAACGCCGGUGGAGAAGUCGUUGCACUGGGCCUGUCCUGACGCUGAGACACGAAAGCGUGGGGAGCGAACGGAAGUAGAUACCCUCGGUAGUCCACGCCGUAAAC